rnacentral:rRNA from 1 species
CAGCCGCCGCGGGAAUACGGAGGGUGCAAGCGUUAAUCGGAAUUACUGGGCGUAAAGCGCACGCAGGCGGUCUGUCAAGUCAGAUGUGAAAUCCCCGGGCUUAACCUGGGAACUGCAUUUGAAACUGGCAGGCUAGAGUCUUGUAGAGGGGGGUAGAAUUCCAGGUGUAGCGGUGAAAUGCGUAGAGAUCUGGAGGAAUACCGGUGGCGAAGGCGGCCCCCUGGACAAAGACUGACGCUCAGGUGCGAAAGCGUGGGGAGCAAACAGGAUUAGAUACCCGGGUAGUCCCUGUCUCUUAUAC